GACGGACGCUGGCGGCGUGCUUAACACAUGCAAGUCGAACGGUAAGGCUCCAGCUUGCUGGGGUACACGAGUGGCGAACGGGUGAGUAACACGUGGGUGACCUGCCCUGCACUUCGGGAUAAGCCUGGGAAACUGGGUCUAAUACCGGAUAGGACCAUGGUGUGGAUACUGUGGUGGAAAGUUUUUUCGGUGUGGGAUGGGCCCGCGGCCUAUCAGCUUGUUGGUGGGGUAAUGGCCUACCAAGGCGGCGACGGGUAGCCGGCCUGAGAGGGUGGACGGCCACAUUGGGACUGAGACACGGCCCAGACUCCUACGGGAGGCAGCAGUGGGGAAUAUUGCACAAUGGGCGGAAGCCUGAUGCAGCGACGCCGCGUGGGGGAUGACGGCCUUCGGGUUGUAAACUCCUUUCACCAUCGACGAAGGGUUUCUGACGGUAGAUGGAGAAGAAGCACCGGCUAACUACGUG
rnacentral:rRNA from 1 species